rnacentral:rRNA from 1 species
CCUACGGGUGGCUGCAGUGAGGAAUAUUGGUCAAUGGGCGCGAGCCUGAACCAGCCAAGUCGCGUGAGGGAUGACGGUCCUACGGAUUGUAAACCUCUUUUGCCGGGGAGCAAGCGUGCGUUCGUGAACGCACGUCGAGAGUACCCGGAGAAAAAGCAUCGGCUAACUCCGUGCCAGCAGCCGCGGUCAUACGUAGGAUGCGAGCAUUAUCCGGAGUGACUGGGGGUAAAGAGUUGCGUAGGUGGCAUAAUAAGUAGCUAGUGAAAUCUUGGGGCUCAACCAUUCAGACUAUUAGCUAAACUGUUAAGCUUGAGAGCGUUAGGGGUAACUGGAAUUUCUAGUGUAGGAGUGAAAUGCGUAGAUAUUAGAAGGAACACCAAUAGCGUAGGCAGGUUACUGGGACGGUUCUGACACUAAGGCACGAAAGCGUAGGGAGCAAACGGGAUUAGAUACCCCUGUAGUC